GCCUGUGAUGUUCGUGAAAUAAAUUUACUUAAACCAACACUUUAUAUACGGGAAUCUGUUCUUCGGCCGCAGCGUAAAUGCCCCCGUACCGCAAGGUAUGCCAGGGGACUUAUAAAACUGUCGAGGCAAUACCCACCUGCACAUGCAGGUUUUGAGUGAUUUUAUAAACACGGCACCACGGGUUUU
rnacentral:other from 1 species